rnacentral:sRNA from 1 species
ACCGCCCAUUAAAAACGUCACACAUGCACCGACACAUGUUCCUGGGUGCCUGCAAGUCAGGUUGGAGCAUGGGGUGUAUGGAGGCCCAAC